UGGGGAAUUUUGGACAAUGGGCGAAAGCCUGAUCCAGCAAUGCCGCGUGUGUGAAGAAGGCCUUCGGGUUGUAAAGCACUUUUGUCCGGAAAGAAAUCCUUGGCUCUAAUACAGUCGGGGGAUGACGGUACCGGAAGAAUAAGCACCGGCUAACUACGUGCCAGCAGCCGCGGUAAUACGUAGGGUGCAAGCGUUAAUCGGAAUUACUGGGCGUAAAGCGUGCGCAGGCGGUUUGCUAAGACCGAUGUGAAAUCCCCGGGCUCAACCUGGGAACUGCAUUGGUGACUGGCAGGCUAGAGUAUGGCAGAGGGGGGUAGAAUUCCACGUGUAGCAGUGAAAUGCGUAGAGAUGUGGAGGAAUACCGAUGGCGAAGGCAGCCCCCUGGGCCAAUACUGACGCUCAUGCACGAAAGCGUGGGGAGCAAAACAGGAUUAGAUACCCUGGUAGUCACGCCCUAAACGAUGUCAACUAGUUGUUGGGGAUUCAUUUCCUUAGUAACGUAGCUAACGCGUGAAGUUGACCGCCUGGGGAGUACGUCGCAAGAUU
rnacentral:rRNA from 1 species